ACCAAAGGAAAGAAGAGAAAUCAAAGAGAGAAAAUCGGCUAUGGAGGGAGUAAUUUUACUCCUUGAAAUUUCAUCCCAAAAAUUAUUUUCUCCUAGUAUUCCUACUAAUUCAAGGAUCCUCUACAACAUGAUGAAGUUAUUUUGGAAGAUAGGAGGCUUGUUUGGUUGAUUUGAAGCUUUGGUAAAGUGAAGAAGUUGGAAGGAAAAGAUUUUGGAGGAAACGGGAAUUGUACUUGGACAACCGUAAAAGGCCAAAAAGGUAUCGAAGUUUGAUUUGCUGAUCCGCCGGUUUAGGACAUCUGCUGUGUUAUUGACAGUGCUCCCUUGUUCGGAGCUUGUAUUUUGGUACUGACUCUAUAUCUGUAUAUUUGGAUAUGUUGGUCAGGGGUACG